CUAGUACUGGAAAGGAUGAGAUAAUAAGGUCCAGCCCCUUUAUUUUGCAGAUGAAAAUUAAAUAAGCCUACAGAUGAAAGAGGCCCCAGUGAUGAUAAGAGACUUAUCCAGAAUGACAGAGCCCUUGGGGGGCAAAGCCAAAGACAGAAGUACAAUCUUUUCACACCUAAUUAAGUGUUCUUCCUACUGUAUAGUACAUGGUUUCUAUGAAGGUCUGAUGAAAUUAAGUUCAUGAAAACCUACAAAGUGCUAUAUAAAUGUGAGGAAAUAUCACCUGCCUUCACUUCAGAGUGUCCUCAGGACGUGACUCCAUCUCAUUGCUUCACUCCUCCUCUACUACGGUCCUGACCAAGUCACCACCUUCUGUGACCUAGAUUAUUGUAAUAACCUCCCAGGUAUAAAUAAAUAAAGGAAAAUAUUAAUAAACUUUUUAUUACUGAUUUUCCUCUGUAGACACAGUAUUCUUUGUUACUAUUCAUUAUUUGUAAAAUAUCGAACACCUAUUAUGAGCAUAGCUUGUGCUGUGGGGGAUACAUAGUAAUCCUUGUUCACUGCCUUGAGGAAAUAAUCGUUAGUGAGGAGACGAGCAGCAUGUAUCAGAAAUUCAUUGAUCACAUGAAUUAAAUGACAAAAAGCACAGAAAUAAAUUGGUAAUAUGAUCUGUAAAUUAACCGGAGGUAUUAUGAUCUUCGUACAAUUAGGUGGCCAGUUAGAGUUAAGGCAGUUUAUAUGGGGAGCUCCUGGUGAAGAGAACCUGCGUGAAUUCAGUAGAUCAGAGAAGGUUUCAUGGAGGAGGAUGCAAUUGAGCUGUGCUGAGGAUGCUGAGGAGAUGGAGCAGCGUACGGAGGCCCGAUGGUAUCUUUGCUGUUACACUAAGGCGGGAAUGAACUCAGUGUUUCCUGAGAGCAAGUAGACCAGUAGGGCUGAAGAAGAGCGGACAGGCUUACGUGAAGGGUAGUUGGGGAUAACGUGAGGAAGUGGGUUCAGAGUAUGAGAGCCCAUCUGGGAAGCCAUUGGUGUCAUAUUUGGGGACAUGGCUGGCUCUGAAUGCUGGAGAUCCUGCAACGGGGCUGGAGUUAGGAGGAUGGACCCAGUCUUACUUGCUCGUAAGAAGUCUUAAAUGGAGUUAAGAAUAUGGUUCUGGGGUGCAUGAUGGGUACAGUUAGCGUGAUCAGUUGUCCUGAUUUGCCUCAGACUCUCCCAGUUUUAGCACUGAAAGCGGGAAGCCCUAGUUCCUGGCAAACCAGAUGGUUGGUCACUUUAGGUAUAGUGCAGAAAAGUGAUUGUUAUCAGGAGGUCCAGAUCAGAAUAGGAGAUCAGCACGUUAGCCGGUAAACAGAGCACGGCAAGAAGGAAUCCAGGGUAGGGCGUUUCAGAGCUCUGGUAGGCAGUCGGGGGAGCUGGAUUAUAUGUUGGUUAAGAGGAUUUUGGCCCAAUGAAAUUAAGCCCAAAGCAACAUAGACAAAGCAACUUGGUUUGUGUGACAGUUUGGUUCAAACAAGUUUUUGGGGAAUAAAUAAAUAAAUAAAUAAAUAAAAUAAUAAUAUUUUGAAUUACUGGCUUUUAAGCAUUGUUAAGUAAUAAUAAGUACCAUUCAUGAAUGCUUACCAUGUGUCAGGAACCUUGCUAGAUUUAAAAAAUAUUAUGUCUUUUAAUCCUCACAACCGUUCUCUGAGAUAAAAAAGACACUGUUAUUUCUUCAUUUUGCAGAUAAGGAAACUGAUGGUUUGAGAGAUUAAGCUGUUUGCCUAGUCACAUGGCUAGUAAAUCUCAGAAUGAGACUCUGAACCCGGGGCAGCACAAAGCUCUUAGUCACCAAAUAGUUCAGUCCCUGAUACUGAGGAACAGGGUUUUUAAAAUUAUUUAUUGUUCUCUUUUAUGACAAAAAUAACACAUACUAAUUCUAGAAAAAUAAAAUAUAGACAAGCAGAAGACUAUACA